rnacentral:rRNA from 1 species
AUGCAAGUCGAACGGUAACAGGAUGUGCUUGCACAUCGCUGACGAGUGGCGGACGGGUGAGUAAUGCUUGGGAACUUGCCUUUGCGAGGGGGAUAACAGUUGGAAACGACUGCUAAUACCGCAUAAUGUCUUCGGACCAAACGGGGCUCCGGCUCCGGCGCAAAGAGAGGCCCAAGUGAGAUUAGCUAGUUGGUAAGGUAACGGCUUACCAAGGCGACGAUCUCUAGCUGUUCUGAGAGGAAGAUCAGCCACACUGGGACUGAGACACGGCCCAGACUCCUACGGGAGGCAGCAGUGGGGAAUAUUGCACAAUGGGGGAAACCCUGAUGCAGCCAUGCCGCGUGUGUGAAGAAGGCCUUCGGGUUGUAAAGCACUUUCAGUUGUGAGGAAAAGUUAGUAGUUAAUACCUGCUAGCCGUGACGUUAACAACAGAAGAAGCACCGGCUAACUCCGUGCCAGCAGCCGCGGUAAUACGGAGGGUGCGAGCGUUAAUCGGAAUUACUGGGCGUAAAGCGCACGCAGGCGGUUUGUUAAGCUAGAUGUGAAAGCCCCGGGCUCAACCUGGGAUGGUCAUUUAGAACUGGCAGACU